UUUAUAAGUUAGUCCCCCGUAUUGCAUACAACCUAUAGUUAAAGUUACUUUCAGACUGUUGCUGUCAUUUUGGUGGCACAAGACACUUUAUGUUGUUUGCCCUCCUAAGUUUGGUCAUAGUUGAACGCUUAAGCACUUAGUCAAUGACCAUCAACAUCAAUUUCCUGCCAUAAGUACCUAGAUAUUAAAGGAGAAAAUAGAAGGAAUUAACCACAGUAUAAUUUAUUAAAAGUAGGUUUGUGCUCUAGAAUACCCUGACAGUCAGAUCUGUAACCAGGAUGUACGUAUUUAAAAAAUCCUCUGCAGCUGAGAGAAGUAGAGGUUGCACUAUAUUUUUAUAACGUAGUGGAAUAGAAAAUACAUGUUACAAUCCAAAGUAGCAAGAUGCCAAUAACACUCUUCAAAGCAGAUUUCUAGGAUUCCACUUCAUUUAACAAAAGAUGUUUUCAAAUCCUCAUGCUACCAGUACUCUGGUCCUACAAACAUAUUGUAUGGAAAUGCAGUUGAAGCUGGUAAGGGACUGCCAGAUGAGCUGGGACGCAAUACAUUUGAGAUUCCCACUAAAGAGGGCAGAGA
rnacentral:misc_RNA from 1 species